rnacentral:rRNA from 1 species
AGAGUUUGAUCCUGGCUCAGAACGAACGCUGGCGGCGUGCCUAACACAUGCAAGUCGAACGGAGUGAAGGAGCUUGCUCUUUCAUUUAGUGGCGCACGGGUGAGUAACGCGUAGAUAACCUGCCUUGGACUCUGGGAUAACAUCUCGAAAGGGGUGCUAAUACCGGAUAAGCCCACGAUGGCGUAAGUCAUUGCGGGAAAAGGGGGCCUCUGAAUAUGCUCCUGAUUCAAGAUGAGUCUGCGUACCAUUAGCUAGUUGGUAGGGUAAGAGCCUACCAAGGCGACGAUGGUUAGCUGGUCUGAGAGGAUGAUCAGCCACACUGGAACUGAGACACGGUCCAGACUCCUACGGGAGGCAGCAGUGGGGAAUUUUGCGCAAUGGGGGAAACCCUGACGCAGCAACGCCGCGUGAGUGAUGAAGGCUUUCGGGUCGUAAAGCUCUGUCUAGAGGGAAGAAAUGAUAGUCGGUUAAUACCCGGUUUUCUUGACGGUACCUCUGAAGGAAGCACCGGCUAACUCCGUGCCAGCAGCCGCGGUAAA